ACACGUGCGAGGCUCACUUUCGCUCAACCCAGCCCAAUGCGACGCCAUUCGCAGCUUCAACUUGAAGAAAUCCAACUCCGGUUAAACUGAGAUGCGCUGUUCGAUGAGUGGGUUUCUUUUAAUUUCUACUUCCAGAUUUUUCUUCUAGUUACAUUCAUUCUUUUGCGGGAUUGCUGUUUUCAGCUGUUCUUAGUGGUUCACUGUAGUGGAUGGUAAUUUCGGGGGCCGAUUUCUGCUCGAUUUCCUGGGUUUUCUGUCGAUUAAAAGCUAUUGGGAAGAACGGGUAAUUUACUACUUUUUGGAAACCACAAAACUUGGUUGUGAUUAUGUCAAGACCUUGGGUUUUUGUCUGUCUGUUGUUACUCAUCGUGUUCUCCUCACAAUUUGAGUGGAGGCAACAGUAUGAGAACGAGCUGGAAGCAGGCCCAAACGCCUCACAGACAGAACCCCAUAUGUCUGAAAGAGAGGAAGCUGUAAAAGAAAAGAUUAUCCUUUCCCAGGAGAAAAACAUCCGGAGAUUGAAUGAGGUGGUGCAGAGUCUUAGAAGAGAGUUGGUCGAGUGCAGGGGUGAAGAACAGGAGGCAGUGAAUAGGACGGUGAGGCCUAUGACUGAGCUUCUAACAGUGUUCAACCAGCAGCCGAUAUUAGAUGAUUAGGUCCCAUGCCACUGACCACCACCCGUUCUUGUUAUUACACUUUGAUAGGACUUUUAACUGUAGAUGUAGAACAAUGUGCCCUUCUUCAACUCUAUCCAUCACUCGUAAUUAUAUAUAUCAAAUCUACGCUCUAUGAUUAAUUAAGCUAAGUUGAUUG